rnacentral:rRNA from 1 species
AUUGAACGCUGGCGGCAGGCCUAACACAUGCAAGUCGAACGAGUGGCGGACGGGUGAGUAAUGUCUGGGAACCUGCCCGAUGGAGGGGGAUAACUACUGGAAACGGUAGCUAAUACCGCAUACCAUCGGAUGUGCCCAGAUGGGAUUAGCUUGUAGGUGAGGUAACGGCCCACCUAGGCGACGAUCCCUAGCUGGUCUGAGAGGAUGACCAGCCACACUGGAACUGAGACACGGUCCAGACUCCUACGGGAGGCAGCAGUGGGGAAUAUUGCACAAUGGGCGCAAGCCUGAUGCAGCCAUGCCGCGUGUGUGAAGAAGGUCUUCGGGUUGUAAAGUACUUUCAGCUGGGAGGCGUUACCAGCAGAAGAAGCACCGGCUAACUCCGUGCCAGCAGCCGCGGUAAUUC